rnacentral:misc_RNA from 1 species
GGUAUAUAUUUAUACCAUUCAAAAUGGAAUGCUAAGUGUUGCUGCAGAAUAUGUGUAUACAAGCACUUGUGAGUAAUGAUUUUGAUGAGGUUCAAUAGAUUUCCACAGUUAUUCUUUAUAGCAUAGAAAAAAAUGAUAAUUGAUGCUUUUCUUGUCACAAAAAAUCAUGUUAGUCUACAAGAAUUUCCUUUGUUUAUAGUGUAGAUACAACCUAUAGAACAACACAUGAAUAUUUUAUUCCUUUGUUUAGUAUGAUAUGUUGCAUUACCAUUUAUUUUUUGAUAAAAUAUUUCGGCAUGCAAAGGUGUUUGUUCAAAGUUGCUGGUCUUCAUUUAUUAUGAAAUGUUAAAUUUGCUGGCAUUCUAGUCUUAUGUUCUGUUUGUUCAUUGUAGUCUUUGUUCAACAUAGCCUUUUUUCUAUUGUAUCUGUGUAUGCUUAUUUAGUAUUUUAAUAAUAAUGUUUAUAAAAUUGAAUGAAAAACAAAAUGCAGUAAGAACAACCAUCACCACUUUUUGUCUCUUUUUUUUGUUUCCCUUUAUUUGCUUUUUGCUUUUACAAGUUUUAUGUGUAGAAACACUGGGAAUGUUAUCCUCUAUAUCUGAUCAAUGUCUUAGAUUCAUUAGAUUUUGUUUUAGGAGGCUAGAUGUCAAUAAAUCUUCCAUCAGA